rnacentral:rRNA from 1 species
AUUGAACGCUGGCGGCAUGCUUUACACAUGCAAGUCGAACGGCAGCGCGGGCUUCGGCCUGGCGGCGAGUGGCGAACGGGUGAGUAAUGGAUCGGGACGGGCCCAGUAGUGGGGGAUAGCCCGGCGAAAGCCGGAUUAAUACCGCAUACGACCUGAGGGUGCACGCGGGGGACCGAAAGGCUUCGCGCUACUGGAGCGGCCGGUGUCGGCUUAGCUAGGCGGUGGGGUAUAGGCUUUCCAAGGCGACGAUCCGUAGCUGGUCUGAGAGGACGACCCGCCCUAGUGGGAGUGGAGAACCGGCCAGACUGCGACUGGGGGCCGGCGUUGGGAAAUUUGGAAAAUAGGGGCAACCCUGAUCCAGCCAUGCCGCGUGCGGGAAGAAGGCAUUCGGGUUGUAAACCGCUUUUGUUCGGGAAGAAAUCCUCUGGGCUAAUACCACGAGGGGAUGACGGUACCGGAAGAAUAAGCACCGGCUAACUACGUG